GACAGACGAGUAGCUUGCUCCUCUGACGUUAGCGGCGGACGGGUGAGUAACACGUGGAUAACCUACCUAUAAGACUGGGAUAACUUCGGGAAACCGGAGCUAAUACCGGAUAAUAUAUUGAACCGCAUGGUUCAAUAGUGAAAGACGGUUUUGCUGUCACUUAUAGAUGGAUCCGCGCCGCAUUAGCUAGUUGGUAAGGUAACGGCUUACCAAGGCAACGAUGCGUAGCCGACCUGAGAGGGUGAUCGGCCACACUGGAACUGAGACACGGUCCAGACUCCUACGGGAGGCAGCAGUAGGGAAUCUUCCGCAAUGGGCGAAAGCCUGACGGAGCAACGCCGCGUGAGUGAUGAAGGUCUUCGGAUCGUAAAACUCUGUUAUUAGGGAAGAACAAAUGUGUAAGUAACUAUGCACGUCUUGACGGUACCUAAUCAGAAAGCCACGGCUAACUACGUGCCAGCAGCCGCGGUAAUACGUAGGUGGCAAGCGUUAUCCGGAAUUAUUGGGCGUAAAGCGCGCGUAGGCGGUUUUUUAAGUCUGAUGUGAAAGCCCACGGCUCAACCGUGGAGGGUCAUUGGAAACUGGAAAACUUGAGUGCAGAAGAGGAAAGUGGAAUUCCAUGUGUAGCGGUGAAAUGCGCAGAGAUAUGGAGGAACACCAGUGGCGAAGGCGACUUUCUGGUCUGUAACUGACGCUGAUGUGCGAAAGCGUGGGGAUCAAACAGGAUUAGAUUCCCCUGGUAGUCCACGUCGUUAAACGAUGAGUGCUAAAUUGUUNAGGGGGUUUCCUCCCCCUUAUUGCUUGNAGCUUAUGUAUUUAAGCUCUUCUGCCUGUGGGA
rnacentral:rRNA from 1 species